rnacentral:rRNA from 1 species
GACGAACGCUGGCGGCGUGGAUUANGCAUGCAAGUUGAGCGACGGUUAAGGGCUUGCCCUUAAUACGGAGCAGCGAACGGGUGAGUAACACGUGAACAAUCUGUCCCUUCAUUCCGGAUAAUUGGUCGAAAGGCCUUGUAAUACGGGCGAGGGUCUCUGGAAGGCAUCUUUUGGAGAAGGAAGGCGCAAGCCGUGCAGGGAGGAGUUCGCGGCCUAUCAGUUAGUUGGUGGGGUAAUGGCCUACCAAGACGACGACGGGUAGCUGGUCUGAGAGGAUGGUCAGCCACAUUGGAACUGAGACACUGUCCAGACUCCUACGGGAGGCUGCAGUCGAGAAUCUUGGGCAAUGCACGAAAGUGUGACCCAGCGACGCCGCGUGAAGGAUGAAGGCCCUCUGGGUCGUAAACUUCUUUUAAGGGGGAAGAAUAAAUGACGGUACCCCUUGAAUAAGCCACGGCUAACUACGUGCCAGCAGCCGCGGUAAUACGUAGGUGGCAAGCGUUGUCCGGAUUUACUGGGCGUAAAGCGUAUGCAGGCGGAUUGUUAAGUAGGAAGUGAAAGGUUGGAGCUCAACUCUAACACUGCUCCCUAUACUGGCAGUCUUGAGUGGCGGAGAGGAAGAUGGAACGACACGUGUAGCGGUGAAAUGCGUUGAUAUGUGUCGGAACACCAAUGGCGAAAGCAAUCUUCUGGACGCAAACUGACGCUGAGAUACGAAAGCCAAGGUAGCAAACAGGAUUAGAUACCCUGGUAGUCUUGGCCAUAAACGAUGAUCACUAGGUGUUGGGGCUUUGCCUCGGUGCCGCAGCUAACGCAUUAAGUGAUCCGCCUGGGAACUACGAGCGCAAGCUUAAAACUCAAAGGAAUUGACGG